GGGGACGUAGCUCAAUUGGUAGAGCAUCUGCUUUGCAAGCAGAAGGUCGUGGGUUCGAUUCCCAUCGUCUCCACCA
rnacentral:tRNA from 2 species